rnacentral:rRNA from 1 species
GGUUAAGUGAAUAAGGGCGCACGGUGGAUGCCUUGGUACUAGGAGCCGAAGAAGGACGGAACUAACACCGAUAUGCUUUGGGGAGCUGUAAGUAAGCUAAGAUCCAAAGAUUUCCGAAUGGGGGAACCCAACACCUUUCAUAGGGUGUUACCAAUGAGUGAAUACAUAGCUCAUUAGGAGGUACACGCAGGGAACUGAAACAUCUCAUUACCUGCAGGAAGAGAAAGAAAAAUCGAUUCCCUGAGUAGCGGCGAGCGAAACGGGAGGAGCCCAAACCAACGAGCUUGCUUGUUGGGGUUGUAGGACUAGAACGUGAGAAGAAAUCAAGAUAGCAGAAGUGGUCUGGAAAGGCCCAUCAAAGAAGGUGACAAUCCUGUACGCGACAUCUUGAUGAACUCUACUAGCAUCCUGAGUACGGCGGGACACGAGGAAUCCCGUCGGAAUCCGCCAGGACCAUCUGGCAAGGCUAAAUACUACCUAGUGACCGAUAGUGAACCAGUACCGUGAGGGAAAGGUGAAAAGAACCCCGGGAGGGGAGUGAAAGAGUACCUGAAACCGUGUGCUUACAAGUAGUCAGAGCCCGUUAAUGGGUGAUGGCGUGCCUUUUGUAGAAUGAACCGGCGAGUUACGUUUACAUGCGAGGUUAAGAUGAAGAGUCGGAGCCGUAGCGAAAGCGAGUCUGAAUAGGGCGCAUGUAGUAUGUGGACGUAGACCCGAAACCAAGUGAUCUACCCAUGUCCAGGUUGAAGGUGCGGUAAAACGCACUGGAGGACCGAACCAGGGCACGUUGAAAAGUGCUUGGAUGAGGUGUGGGUAGCGGAGAAAUUCCAAUCGAACUUGGAGAUAGCUGGUUCUCUCCGAAAUAGCUUUAGGGCUAGCCUCGGAAUCAAGAAUCGUGGAGGUAGAGCACUGUUUGGACUAGGGGCCCAUCUCGGGUUACCGAAUUCAGAUAAACUCCGAAUGCCAUGUAUUUAUAUCCGGGAGUCAGACUGCGAGUGAUAAGAUCCGUAGUCGAAAGGGAAACAGCCCAGACCACCAGCUAAGGUCCCAAAAUAUCUGUUAAGUGGAAAAGGAUGUGGGGUUGCACAGACAACUAGGAUGUUGGCUUAGAAGCAGCCAUCAUUCAAAGAGUGCGUAAUAGCUCACUAGUCGAGUGACCCUGCGCCGAAAAUGUAACGGGGCUAAACAGAUUACCGAAGCUGUGGAUUGGACCAUUAGGUCCAGUGGUAGGAGAGCGUUCUAAGGGCGGUGAAGCAUGACCGUAAGGACAUGUGGAGCGCUUAGAAGUGAGAAUGCCGGUAUGAGUAGCGAAAGACGGGUGAGAAUCCCGUCCACCGAAUAACUAAGGUUUCCUGGGGAAGGCUCGUCCUCCCAGGGUUAGUCGGGACCUAAGGCGAGGCCGAUAGGCGUAGUCGAUGGACAACAGGUUGAUAUUCCUGUACUUCUAUAAAUCGUUUGAGCAAUGGAGGGACGCAGGAGGCUAAGAAAAGCGUACGACUGGAAGUGUACGCCCAAGCAGUGAGUCGGCUGAUGAGUCAAAUGCUUAUCACGGAUGCGACAAGCUGUGACGGGGAGGGAAGUUUAGUACCGAAGUUUCUGAUGUCACACUGCCGAGAAAAGCUUCUAGCAAGAUUUAUAGGACCCGUACCGCAAACCGACACAGGUAGUUGAGGAGAGAAUCCUAAGGUGAGCGAGCGAACUCUCGUUAAGGAACUCGGCAAAAUGACCCCGUAACUUCGGGAGAAGGGGUGCUGGUAGCAAUACCAGCCGCAGUGAAUAGGCCCAGGCGACUGUUUAUCAAAAACACAGGUCUCUGCAAAAUCGAAAGAUGACGUAUAGGGGCUGACGCCUGCCCGGUGCUGGAAGGUUAAGAGGAGAGGUUAGCGCAAGCGAAGCUUUGAAUUGAAGCCCCAGUAAACGGCGGCCGUAACUAUAACGGUCCUAAGGUAGCGAAAUUCCUUGUCGGGUAAGUUCC